rnacentral:rRNA from 1 species
ANGGCGGCCNNNGGGAUUCGAUUAGAGUUUGAUCCUGGCUCAGGACGAACGCUGGCGGCGUGCUUAACACAUGCAAGUCGAACGGUGAAAGAGGAGCUUGCUCCUCUGGAUCAGUGGCGAACGGGUGAGUAACACGUGAGUAACCUGCCCUUGACUCUGGGAUAAGCGUUGGAAACGACGUCUAAUACCGGAUAUGAACCGCGAAGGCAUCUUCUGCGGUUGGAAAGAAUUUUGGUCAAGGAUGGACUCGCGGCCUAUCAGCUAGUUGGUGAGGUAACGGCCCACCAAGGCGACGACGGGUAGCCGGCCUGAGAGGGUGACCGGCCACACUGGGACUGAGACACGGCCCAGACUCCUACGGGAGGCAGCAGUGGGGAAUAUUGCACAAUGGGCGAAAGCCUGAUGCAGCAACGCCGCGUGAGGGACGACGGCCUUCGGGUUGUAAACCUCUUUUAGCAGGGAAGAAGCGAAAGUGACGGUACCUGCAGAAAAAGCACCGGCUAACUACGUGCCAGCAGCCGCGGUAAUACGUAGGGUGCAAGCGUUGUCCGGAAUUAUUGGGCGUAAAGAGCUCGUAGGCGGUUUGUCGCGUCUGCUGUGAAAACGCGAGGCUCAACCUCGCGCCUGCAGUGGGUACGGGCAGACUAGAGUGCGGUAGGGGAGAUUGGAAUUCCUGGUGUAGCGGUGGAAUGCGCAGAUAUCAGGAGGAACACCGAUGGCGAAGGCAGAUCUCUGGGCCGUAACUGACGCUGAGGAGCGAAAGCGUGGGGAGCGAACAGGAUUAGAUACCCUGGUAGUCCACGCCGUANACGUUGGGAACUAGAUGUGGGGACCAUUCCACGGUCUCCGUGUCGCAGCUAACGCAUUAAGUUCCCCGCCUGGGGAGUACGGCCGCAAGGCUAANACUCAAAGGAAUUGACGGGGGCCCGCACAAGCGGCGGAGCAUGCGGAUUAAUUCGAUGCAACGCGAAGAACCUUACCAAGGCUUGACAUAUACCGGAAACGUCUGGAA